GCCUCUGUAGUUCAACGGAUAGAACAACACCCUCACGAAGUGUAAAUGCGGGUUCGAAUCCCGCCAGGGGCACCC
rnacentral:tRNA from 1 species